rnacentral:rRNA from 1 species
UCGACCUCAGAUCAGGUGGGGCUACCCGCUGAACUUAAGCAUAU